UACAGAUAUCUGACGUGUCGAGGUGGCAUUGGCAGUGAAUACGUUAGAACGUCCAGCAUGAAGUUUCUCCUAGUAAUUCUGCUACUCUCAGCCUACUGUUUAGCUACGGCCAUGGCAGAAGUAACGUGUAACUGGAAUGGCCGUGUGUUGAAGCAAUCAGAAACAGUGAGCCCACAGGACUGUGUCGAGUGCUACUGUACUCUAUGGGGCUACAUGAGCUGUUCACAGAUGUGUUGAGACCACAUGAAAAUCUACACAUAACCUUUCUUAAACACAUGAAAAUUCACACAUGUUUUCUUAAACACAUGAAAAUCUACACACGUUUCCUAAAGUCAUCAAUGCUGAGUUGAAAGUUUCGAACUUACAGUCUAAUAAACAAACGAUUAGCU